rnacentral:misc_RNA from 1 species
UCUUCUCAACCCUUCUGUCUUUUUCAUUAAAGGCAGCUGGGCUUGGACUUGGAGGUCUUGCAGGCGUCCGAAUUUUUAAUUCGGAAGUCAGCUCCUCUGAAAUGCAUUAGCUUGAAUAGAACCAAGCAUGAUUCAGCGUGAUAAUUGUCUACGUUGCUUCAUCUCGGUGAAUUUACUGUUCAAGCUUCUAACCGUCCCUUGGGACAAUCUCUGAAC